UUAGUUUGAGAAGUAAGAGGUAUGAUGAAACUAUAGAACAACUAAAUUUAGGGGACAAAUAAUCUCAUUAUUGUAGUAGGAUAUGGAGGUACACUUACAAUAGUUUGUGCUAGGUUCUUACUUUUGGCAAGAAUACUGGAAACAUGCUUUAAUAAAACAUAGCUGCAUCCUGCUUUGUUCUUGUGGGUAUUUAGAGCUUUUAGGAACUUCUUGUUACUUUGCUGUUGGGAUCUACUUAUGGUUAUUUGGUUUGCUAUUGUAUUUCAUUUGACAUUUUCCCUUUGCCAUUGUUACUUCACUGCUGGUAUUUAUUUGUAAUUAAUUCAUUUGCUAUAGUAUUUCGUUGACAAUCCUCCAUAUUGUUCUCUCGAUUUUCUCCUUGAUUGUCUUUAUGUUUGCUUAGUUUUAUGAAGCUGUGUAAAGUAAUAGUAAGUUGGUAACUACUAUCUAAUUACCUUUAUUGUUCAAACUUGUUAGGAAGAUGAAGACUACAUGGUACUUGUGUUAUGUGUUUAAUUCGUUUCCUCUUCCUCUCAGUUGUUAAGAAAUUUAUUUUCUAAUUCUGUUUGCAGUGGUGAGAUUGCUAGUGAAGGGUCAGGUGAAGGAAGUGAUGCAAGUUCUCAAGAUAUGAAGUCCGGAGGCCUGCAAGAUUCAGCUGAAACAUCUGAGAAUGGAAGCGCUGAUCAUGGUUCCCACAAUGGAGGACGGAAUACUCCUCAUUCAAUGGUAAAUCAAGAUCUUGCUAUCAUGCCAACACCAGCAACUGGGGUCUGUGGCUGGUGUUCCUCCUGCCACUAACUUAAAUAUCGGCAUGGACUACUGGGGUACUGCUACACCAUCUACUAUUCCUGCAAUGCGUGGUAAGGUACCUUCUCUUGGUGCUGGAGGAAUGGUUAGUACUGGAUCAUGGGAAAAUGUUCAGUCACAGCGUCGGAUGCAGGUUUUCCUUUUUCGUUCUUUUCACUAUUUUCUAAAUUGCAUUUUCCUUUUUUUCUGGUUUUUAGAUUGAGUGGAUGUGUGUCAUGGGCUUAUGAUCUAAUCACGUUGCUGUUAGUCUUCUGUUCUUUAUGUCUAGUCUUGUAUCGUGUCUGUUAUUGAUUAAUUGGUCUAGGAAGGCACCUUUUCAAUAUUCUUUGAUUUUAAAGGGACAUUAUCAAUCAUUAAAAAAUUGAAUAAAAAAUGAAGGAAAAGCCGGCUAUCAAAAUCAAACCGACCUAACCUCUGAUUUCCUGUCCUCAACAGUUCAGAACACUUGCUGCAUGCUAAUAUUGAGGUUGACUGGAUGUAAUCAUAUGAAAUAGAUUGUGAAUUUCAGUGAUAUAUUUUAGAACUAAAGAACUGGUCUUUUUCAUUAGAAAAUGUUACUCAAUUUUUUUACCAAUGUGGUAAGAUAGGUAGAGGCUCUGUGAAAAUGGACCGUAGGUAUGAUAUAACACUUCGGGCACAGAGGUUCGGGUCAUU